rnacentral:lncRNA from 1 species
GUGCAUGAUGACUAGCGAGCGAUUGGGUUUAGAAAUGAGCGUAAGCGGUCUUCACGCGAUUCUUCACGUGGACCUGAGACCUGGGAUGCUCACCGAGACAAAGAGGAGGGGUGCUAAAAUCAAAAAAGGAAACAAAAAAUUUGUAAACAACGGAGAGACCUCUUUCUUUGGUCCCGCAUCCAAAAUAUACAAAAACCUUCUCCCUCC